AUUGAACGCUGGCGGCAGGCUUAACACAUGCAAGUCGAGCGGGGUGAUGGUGCUUGCACUAUCACUUAGCGGCGGACGGGUGAGUAAUGCUUAGGAAUCUGCCUAUUAGGGGGGGACAACAUCUCGAAAGGGAUGCUAAUACCGCAUACGUCCUACGGGAGAAAGCAGGGGAUCACUUGUGACCUUGCGCUAAUAGAUGAGCCUAAGUCGGAUUAGCUAGUUGGUGGGGUAAAGGCCUACCAAGGCGACGAUCUGUAGCGGGUCUGAGAGGAUGAUGCGCCACACUGGGACUGAGACACGGCGCAGACUCCUACGGGAGGCAGCAGUGGGGAAUAUUGGACAAGGGGGGGAACCCUGAUCCAGCCAUGCGGGGUGUGUGAAGAAGGCCUUAUGGUUGUAAAGCACUUUAAGCGAGGAGGAGGCUCUUUUGGUUAAUACCCAAGAUGAGUGGACGUUACUCGCAGAAUAAGCACCGGCUAACUCUGUGCCAGCCGCCGCCGUAA
rnacentral:rRNA from 1 species